GCCUACGGGACGCAGCAGUGAGGAAUAUUGGUCAAUGGCCGGAAGGCUGAACCAGCCAAGUCGCGUGAGGGACGACUGCCCUAUGGGUUGUAAACCUCUUUUAUAAGGGAAGAAUAAAUGCUACGUGUAGCAUGAUGCCUGUACCUUAUGAAUAAGCAUCGGCUAACUCCGUGCCAGCAGCCGCGGUAAUACGGAGGAUGCGAGCGUUAUCCGGAUUUAUUGGGUUUAAAGGGUGCGCAGGCGGAUUUUUAAGUCAGCGGUCAAAUCGUGGGGCUCAACCCCAUCCAGCCGUUGAAACUGGGGAU
rnacentral:rRNA from 1 species